UACGAAGGGGGCUAGCGUUGCUUGGAAUCACUGGGCGUAAAGCGCACGUAGGCGGUUUUUUAAGCCAGGGGUGAAAUCCUGGAGCUCAACUCCAGAACUGCCUUUGAUACUGAGAAGCUUGAGUCCGGGAGAGGUGAGUGGAACUGCGAGUGUAGAGGUGAAAUUCGUAGAUAUUCGGAAGAACACCAGUGGCGAAGGCGACUUACUGGACGACUAUUGACGCUGAGGUGCGAAAGCGUGGGGAGCAAACAGG
rnacentral:rRNA from 1 species